GACUGUGACUCAGUGGUAGAGCAUCUGCUUUGCGUGGAGAAGGUCCCAUGUUCCAUACUUGGGAUCUCCA
rnacentral:tRNA from 1 species